UCAAUAUAAAUUGAUUAAUAUUUAUUUAUUUAUUUUGUUUUUGUUUAUUUUUAUAUAUUAAAAGAAUUUAUAUGUUUAUGUGUUUUAGUAUUAUUUAGAAAAAAUAAUUUUAAUAAUAGUUUAUUAGUACUGUAAGGGGUUAUUGAAAUAAUUUGAAAAAUUAUUACUUAUAAAGAAGGUUUUAUUUGCUGUACCUUGUGUAUCAGGGUGGAUUAAAUAUAUAAAUUUUAUUAAUUUAGUCUCGAUUUUAUAAGAGUUAAUGAUAUAUAAAAGUUAAUGUGUCAAAAUUAUUUUUCAUAUAUUGUUUGAAAUGAAAUGUUAUUCGUUUAUAAAGGUAUCUAGUUUUUCUAGAAAUAAAUUUAAUUUAUGGUUUAUUAAUUUUUUAUUUUAUUAUAUGAAUUAAAAAAUUUGUUGAGCCUAAUACCCUAUGGGAUAAGCUUUAGGGUAUAUAUUUAAAAGGAUUUAAUGUAUUUAUUAAAUGUAUGUAUAAAAUUUGCAAUCAUUUUUAAGUUUGUUAUAAAUUAUUUUGUUUAUUAUAUUAUUUAUUUUUCUUUGAUUAUUUAUAGAAACAUUAUUUUUAAUUUUUUAAAAUAAGAGAAAAUGAUUUAAUUAGUAUAUUGUUUAUGUUUGUGUAUUUUUUUAUGUUAAGUUUAUAUAAAGAACUCGGCAAAUUGUAUGCCCGCCUGUUUAACAAAAACAUGUCUUUUUGAGUUAUUUUUAAAGUCUGACCUGCCCAAUGAAUUUUUGAAUGGCCGCAGUAUUCUAACUGUGCAAAGGUAGCAUAAUCAUUAGUCUUUUAAUUGAAGGCUGGUAUGAAUGGUUGGACGAGGUAUAAGCUGUUUCAUAUAAAAUUAAUUUAGAAUUUUAUUAUUUAGUCAAAAAGCUAAAAUUUUAUUAAAAGACGAGAAGACCCUAUAAAUCUUUAUAUUAUAUUAUGUAUAACUUUUUUGGAUUUUGUUUGGUUUUAUAUUAUUUAAUAUUUUAUUGGGGUGAUAUUAAAAUUUAAAUAACUUUUAAUUUUUUAGUUCCAUUAAUUUAUGAUUUAUUGAUCCAUUAUUAGUGAUUAUAAGACUAAGUUACUUUAGGGAUAACAGCGUAAUUUUUUUGGAGAGUUCUUAUCGAUAAAAAAGAUUGCGACCUCGAUGUUGGAUUAAGAUAUAAUUUUAGGUGUAGCCGCUUAAAUUUUAAGUCUGUUCGACUUU
rnacentral:rRNA from 1 species